UGCCAGCCGCCGCGGUAAUACGAAGGGGGCGAGCGUUAUUCGGAAUAACUGGGCGUAAAGGGCGCGUAGGCGGUCUAUCCAGUUGGGCGUGAAAGCCCUGGGCUCAACCCAGGAAUUGCGUUCAAUACUAAUAGACUAGAGACCGAGAGAGGAUAGUGGAAUUUCCAGUGUAGAGGUGAAAUUCGUAGAUAUUGGAAAGAACACCAGUGGCGAAAGCGGCUAUCUGGCUGGGCCAUUUUUGACGCUGAGAUACGAAAGCGUGGGUAGCAAACAGGAUUAGAUA
rnacentral:rRNA from 1 species